rnacentral:rRNA from 1 species
AUUGAACGCUGGCGGCAGGCCUAACACAUGCAAGUCGAGCGGAUGAAGGGAGCUUGCUCCUGGAUUCAGCGGCGGACGGGUGAGUAAUGCCUAGGAAUCUGCCUGGUAGUGGGGGAUAACGUCCGGAAACGGGCGCUAAUACCGCAUACGUCCUGAGGGAGAAAGUGGGGGAUCUUCGGACCUCACGCUAUCAGAUGAGCCUAGGUCGGAUUAGCUAGUUGGUGGGGUAAAGGCCUACCAAGGAGACGAUCCGUAACUGGUCUGAGAGGAUGAUCAGGCACACUGGAACUGAGACACGGUCCAGACUCCUACGGGAGGCAGCAGUGGGGAAUAUUGGACAAUGGGCGAAAGCCUGAUCCAGCCAUGCCGCGUGUGUGAAGAAGGUCUUCGGAUUGUAAAGCACUUUAAGUUGGGAGGAAGGGCAGUAAGUUAAUACCUUGCUGUUUUGACGUUACCAACAGAAUAAGCACCGGCUAACUUCGUG